GUGCAGCCGCGCGGUAAUACCGGCAGCACGAGUGAUGGCCGAUAUUAUUGGGCCUAAAGCGUCCGUAGCUUGCUGUGUAAGUCCAUUGGGAAAUCGACGUGCUCAACGCGUCGGCGUCCGGUGGAAACUACACGGCUUGGGGCCGAGAGACUCGACGGGUACGUCCGGGGUAGGAGUGAAAUCCUGUAAUCCUGGACGGACCGCCAAUGGGGAAACCACGUCGAGAGACCGGACCCGACAGUGAGGGACGAAAGCCAGGGUCUCGAACCGGAUUAGAAACCCGAGUAGUCC
rnacentral:rRNA from 1 species